CAGCAGCCGCGGUAAUACGAAGGGGGCUAGCGUUGCUCGGAACCACUGGGCGUAAAGGGUGCGUAGGCGGUUACUCAAGUCAGAGGUGAAAGCCCGGGGCUCAACCCCGGAACUGCCUUUGAAACUAGGUGACUAGAAUCUUGGAGAGGUUAGUGGAAUUCCGAGUGUAGAGGUGAAAUUCGUAGAUAUUCGGAAGAACACCAGUGGCGAAGGCGACUAUCUGGGCCAUUACUGACACUGAGGCUCGAAAGCGUGGGGAGCAAACAGGAUUAGAUACCCCCGUAGUCCCUGUCUCUUAUAC
rnacentral:rRNA from 1 species